GGAGAAACGACACCGCGCCGCCGCCCACUCACAGUGCCGCCACCUGACUCCUCCUCAACGCGCCACCGACCAACUCAUCGGCACCGACGUACCUCCUCCGCCGGCUUCUCCCCGAUGGUUGUGGUAGAUAUGUUGUUCACCCUGCUUCAUCCAGGCUGCUGCUUGUGGAACUGUGCGAAGAAUGGAAUACUUGGCUGCUUGUGAGAUGAUGGGCUGGCUGAGUCCGAGCAGUGAACUACUAGGAAGAGGAACCCAUAAGCAUCUAGAUGGAUGGAGAGGCUAUCAUCUGAGAAGUCAUCCAUUACCCAGCUUAAGCCAAUACAGGUUACACUCCAAACAGACCGGGCAAGUGAUUGUCUCUCUGUAGAUAUUAUAUAGGC